AGAGCGAACGCUGGCGGCAGGCCUAACACAUGCAAGUCGAGCGGCCGUAGCAAUACGGCAGCGGCAGACGGGAGAGUAACACGUGGGAACGCGCCCUUCGGUUCGGAAUAACUCAGGGAAACUUGAGCUAAUACCGGAUACGCCCUUACGGGGAAAGAUUUAUUGCCGAAGGAACGGCCCGCGUCCGAUUAGCUUGUUGGUGAGGUAAUGGCUCACCAAGGCGACGAUCGGUAGCUGGUCUGAGAGGAUGACCAGCCUCACUGGGACUGAGACACGGCCCAGACUCCUACGGGAGGCAGCAGUGGGGAAUAUUGGACAAUGGGCGCAAGCCUGAUCCAGCCAUGCCGCGUGGAUGAUGAAGGCCUUAGGGUUGUAAAGUCCUUUUAACGGGGAAGAUAAUGACGGUACCCGUAGAAUAAGCCCCGGCUAACUUCGCGCCAGCAGCCGC
rnacentral:rRNA from 1 species